GACGAACGCUGGCGGCGUGCUUAACACAUGCAAGUCGAACGGAAAGGCCAUGCUUUUGUGGGGUGCUCGAGUGGCGAACGGGUGAGUAACACGCGAGUAAACUGCACUUGACUUUGGGAUAAAUUCAGGAAAAUGGGGCUAAUACCGGAUAGGAGCUCCUGCUGCAUGGUGGGGGUUGGAAAGUUUCGGCGGUUGGGGAUGGAAUCGCGGCUUAUCAGCUUGUUGGUGGGGUAGUGGCUUACAAAGGCUUUGACGGGUAGCCGGCCUGAGAGGGUGACCGGCCACCUUGGGACUGAGGUACGGCCCAGACGCCUACGGGAGGCAGCAGUGGGGAAUAUUGCACAAUGGGCGGAAGCCUGAUGCAGCAGCGCCGCGUGCGUGAUGACGGCCUUCGGGUUGUAAACCGCUUUCGCCUGUGACGAAGCGUGAGUGACGGUAAUGGGUAAAGAAGCACCGGCUAACUACGUG
rnacentral:rRNA from 1 species